rnacentral:rRNA from 1 species
GGGUUGUGAGGUUAAGCGACCAAGCGUACACGGUGGAUGCCCUGGCAGUCAGAGGCGAUGAAGGACGUGCUAAUCUGCGAUAAGCGCCGGUAAGGUGAUAUGAACCGUUAUAACCGGCGAUUUCCGAAUGGGGAAACCCAGUGUGAUUCGUCACACUAUCAUUAACUGAAUCCAUAGGUUAAUGAGGCGAACCGGGGGAACUGAAACAUCUAAGUACCCCGAGGAAAAGAAAUCAACCGAGAUUCCCCCAGUAGCGGCGAGCGAACGGGGAGGAGCCCAGAGCCUGAAUCAGCAUGUGUGUUAGUGGAAGCGUCUGGAAAGGCGCGCGAUACAGGGUGACAGCCCCGUACACAAAAGCGCAUAUGCUGUGAGCUCGAUGAGUAGGGCGGGACACGUGGUAUCCUGUCUGAAUAUGGGGGGACCAUCCUCCAAGGCUAAAUACUCCUGACUGACCGAUAGUGAACCAGUACCGUGAGGGAAAGGCGAAAAGAACCCCGGCGAGGGGAGUGAAACAGAACCUGAAACCGUGUACGUACAAGCAGUGGGAGCACAGGUUUACCUGUGUGACUGCGUACCUUUUGUAUAAUGGGUCAGCGACUUAUAUUCUGUAGCAAGGUUAACCGUAUAGGGGAGCCGAAGGGAAACCGAGUCUUAACUGGGCGUUAAGUUGCAGGGUAUAGACCCGAAACCCGGUGAUCUAGCCAUGGGCAGGUUGAAGGUUGGGUAACACUAACUGGAGGACCGAACCGACUAAUGUUGAAAAAUUAGCGGAUGACCUGUGGCUGGGGGUGAAAGGCCAAUCAAACCGGGAGAUAGCUGGUUCUCCCCGAAAGCUAUUUAGGUAGCGCCUCGUGAACUCAUCUCCGGGGGUAGAGCACUGUUUCGGCUAGGGGGCCAUCCCGGCUUACCAACCCGAUGCAAACUGCGAAUACCGGAGAAUGUUAUCACGGGAGACACACGGCGGGUGCUAACGUCCGUCGUGAAGAGGGAAACAACCCAGACCGCCAGCUAAGGUCCCAAAGUCAUGGUUAAGUGGGAAACGAUGUGGGAAGGCCCAGACAGCCAGGAUGUUGGCUUAGAAGCAGCCAUCAUUUAAAGAAAGCGUAAUAGCUCACUGGUCGAGUCGGCCUGCGCGGAAGAUGUAACGGGGCUAAACCAUGCACCGAAGCUGCGGCAGCGAACGUAUCACUUAAAACGAUUCAGAAGCUUACGAUUGACGGAGCGAAGCGACGUCAAAGCGUAUACAAAGUCGAGUCGGUUUAAGGAUACGUUCGUUGGGUAGGGGAGCGUUCUGUAAGCCUGCGAAGGUGGCCUGUGAGGGUUGCUGGAGGUAUCAGAAGUGCGAAUGCUGACAUAAGUAACGAUAAAGCGGGUGAAAAGCCCGCUCGCCGGAAGACCAAGGGUUCCUGUCCAACGUUAAUCGGGGCAGGGUGAGUCGACCCCUAAGGCGAGGCCGAAAGGCGUAGUCGAUGGGAAACGGGUUAAUAUUCCCGUACUUGGUGUUACUGCGAAGGGGGGACGGAGAAGGCUAUGUUGGCCGGGCGACGGUUGUCCCGGUUUAAGCGUGUAGGCUGACUUUCCAGGCAAAUCCGGAGAGUCAAGGCUGAGGCGUGACGACGAGGCACCACGGUGCUGAAGCAACAAAUGCCCUGCUUCCAGGAAAAGCCUCUAAGCAUCAGGUAACAUCAAAUCGUACCCCAAACCGACACAGGUGGUCAGGUAGAGAAUACCAAGGCGCUUGAGAGAACUCGGGUGAAGGAACUAGGCAAAAUGGUGCCGUAACUUCGGGAGAAGGCACGCUGACACGUAGGUGAAGUGAUUUACUCAUGGAGCUGAAGUCAGUCGAAGAUACCAGCUGGCUGCAACUGUUUAUUAAAAACACAGCACUGUGCAAACACGAAAGUGGACGUAUACGGUGUGACGCCUGCCCGGUGCCGGAAGGUUAAUUGAUGGGGUCAGCGCAAGCGAAGCUCCUGAUCGAAGCCCCGGUAAACGGCGGCCGUAACUAUAACGGUCCUAAGGUAGCGAAAUUCCUUGUCGGGUAAGUUCCGACCUGCACGAAUGGCGUAAUGAUGGCCAGGCUGUCUCCACCCGAGACUCAGUGAAAUUGAACUCGCUGUGAAGAUGCAGUGUACCCGCGGCAAGACGGAAAGACCCCGUGAACCUUUACUAUAGCUUGACACUGAACAUUGAGCCUUGAUGUGUAGGAUAGGUGGGAGGCUUUGAAGCGUGGACGCCAGUCUGCGUGGAGCCGGCCUUGAAAUACCACCCUUUAAUGUUUGAUGUUCUAACGUGGACCCGUGAUCCGGGUUGCGGACAGUGUCUGGUGGGUAGUUUGACUGGGGCGGUCUCCUCCUAAAGAGUAACGGAGGAGCACGAAGGUUGGCUAAUCCUGGUCGGACAUCAGGAGGUUAGUGCAAUGGCAUAAGCCAGCUUGACUGCGAGCGUGACGGCGCGAGCAGGUGCGAAAGCAGGUCAUAGUGAUCCGGUGGUUCUGAAUGGAAGGGCCAUCGCUCAACGGAUAAAAGGUACUCCGGGGAUAACAGGCUGAUACCGCCCAAGAGUUCAUAUCGACGGCGGUGUUUGGCACCUCGAUGUCGGCUCAUCACAUCCUGGGGCUGAAGUAGGUCCCAAGGGUAUGGCUGUUCGCCAUUUAAAGUGGUACGCGAGCUGGGUUUAGAACGUCGUGAGACAGUUCGGUCCCUAUCUGCCGUGGGCGCUGGAGAACUGAGGGGGGCUGCUCCUAGUACGAGAGGACCGGAGUGGACGCAUCACUGGUGUUCGGGUUGUCAUGCCAAUGGCACUGCCCGGUAGCUAAAUGCGGAAGAGAUAAGUGCUGAAAGCAUCUAAGCACGAAACUUGCCCCGAGAUGAGUUCUCCCUGAGACUUAGAGUCUCCUGAAGGAACGUUGAAGACGACGACGUUGAUAGGCCGGGUGUGUAAGCGCAGCGAUGCGUUGAGCUAACCGGUACUAAUGAACCGUGAGGCUUAACCUUACAACGCCGAAGCUGUU